AUUGAACGCUGGCGGCAUGCCUUACACAUGCAAGUCGAACGGCAGCACGGGAGCAAUCCUGGUGGCGAGUGGCGAACGGGUGAGUAAUAUAUCGGAACGUGCCCAGUCGUGGGGAUAACGUAGCGAAAGCUACGCUAAUACCGCAUACGAUCUAUGGAUGAAAGCGGGGGAUCGCAAGACCUCGCGCGAUUGGAGCGGCCGAUAUCAGAUUAGGUAGUUGGUGAGGUAAAGGCUCACCAAGCCGACGACCUGUAGCUGGUCUGAGAGGACGACCAGCCACACUGGGACUGAGACACGGCCCAGACUCCUACGGGAGGCAGCAGUGGGGAAUUUUGGACAAUGGGCGCAAGCCUGAUCCAGCAAUGCCGCGUGCAGGAUGAAGGCCUUGGUUGUAACUGCUUUGUACGGAACGAACGGUAGAGCUCUAAUACAGUUUGCUAAUGACGGUACCGUAAGAAUAAGC
rnacentral:rRNA from 1 species